CUACGGGUCGCACCAGUGGGGAAUAUUGGACAAUGGGCGCAAGCCUGAUCCAGCCAUGCCGCGUGAGUGACGAAGGCCUUAGGGUUGUAAAGCUCUUUUGGCGGGGACGAUAAUGACGGUACCCGCAGAAUAAGCUCCGGCUAACUUCGUGCACAGCAGCCGCGGUAAUACGAAGGGAGCUAGCGUUGUUCGGAAUCACUGGGCGUAAAGCGCACGUAGGCGGAUUUGUAAGUCAGGGGUGAAAUCCCGGGGCUCAACCCCGGAACUGCCUUUGAUACUGCAAAUCUCGAGUCCGGAAGAGGUGGGUGGAAUUCCUAGUGUAGAGGUGAAAUUCGUAGAUAUUAGGAAGAACACCGGUGGCGAAGGCGGCCCACUGGUCCGGUACUGACGCUGAGGUGCGAAAGCGUGGGGAGCAAACAGGAUUAGAUACCCGUGUAGUC
rnacentral:rRNA from 1 species